rnacentral:lncRNA from 1 species
CGUAUAGUUGCUAUUCAGUGACUGCAAAAAAUCAUGGUCCCAAAUUGAAGGUUGGUAGUUUGCUGAUCUCCUAUCAACUGUCAAAUUAUCAUAUUUGGUGCUGACAAGGCAUUGGACUGGCUUAUUUUUUGCCAUGAUUCUGAUGGCUGCUCUAUUUGUUGCAAGAGGAAGACAUUUGAAACCAUUUACAGAGGUAGCCAAGGUUGAGGGAUUAAUGCAAGAAGACAUUGGAUAUACAGAUGCAGUGUAAGCUAGCUUACAGGUAUACUUGGGAAGGAUUCUCAAAUUAAUCUAUGGUUUGUGGUGAUGUACAAGGUUAUAUAUAUAUAUAUAUAUAGGCAGAGAAGAAGCUCAUGUGAUUGAUUUUUCUUACUCAUUUUUUCUGAGUUUUGAAAGCGUUUAAUUUUUAAGUCUUAAUAGUACAAAGAUAUUUUAUUCUUUUUUUUGUGGGGGGGGUACAUCAUACUGUGCGAACGAGGUCAAUAUUGUACCAGAAGACACAUACAUCAUCCAUACAUUCGGAUGAAUGUUGUAUAAUCUUUUUUUAUUUAUCUUUUUUUUUCCUGCAUACAAAUUUUUUAAAGAGUCUUUCUAUAAACUACACAAUAAAUGCACGCAGAAAUAACAAGAAAUUCAUAAAUUCAAUUCUACUAAUAAAAGUUCUAUUUAUUACAUUAAAAUCUUGUUUUGUGGAGAAAUAAGAAUAUACAAACUAAGUUUAAGGAAAAAAAGGCAUACAAAGUUGCAAACAAUAUCUUAAUGUUGAGGACUAACAUCGAAAUUCUAUUUGUUACAGUUAUAAAGUACUUUUGCGGAAAACAAAUUAAUAAAUUACAAAAUGAUUAUCAACAAAAAGUAGAUUGGGCAGGUAGAUGUCAACUCAAAAGUUAGUGGGAGCAGAUUUCCGGGCUAUAUAGUACAAAUGUAUGUAUCUACUGUCUAAAUAGAUAAUGGAUUUUAAUGUAUCGGUAGAUUGUGAUAAUUUGUACAAAUUUCAGAAAACUUCCAUUUAACAACGGUUGCUGAAAGUGUGUUGUAAAAUAAUUUUAAUAUUUGACAACAAACGAAAGAAUGUUGUCAUAAACUCUUCAAUGGGCUUUCAAUUUCACAACGUCCUACAAAAGCGCGUUGUGAAAAAAAUUCUAAUAAAUGACAAUAGGUGUAAAAUCGUUAUAAAUUUUCAACUCAUCCAAUUCAUGAAUUAAUGAAAUUAAUCCAAAUUUAAUUCAUAACUCUAAGAAUUAGAUGUGGAUUUGACAUAAUUUAUAUCCCAUUGCACUUUUGCGAAUUCGAUAUCAAUUAAAAAAAAAUUCUUUCUAUCCAUUCAUAAAAUAAUUAAAUAAAUAUUUUAAUACAAAAAUAAUUUUAUUACCAAUCAAAUUCAAAUUUAAAAAUAUUAAAUAAAUCAAUAGUUUAAGUACUUGUUUAGGAACGCGAUAUAUCACCCAGCAUCUGUUAAAUCAAUCAACGUACGUUCCUAAAGAAGCAUAAUUUUGAAGCCAUAUACCAUUUCAUCUUUACUCCCUAUUCUUUCUUUAAAAAAACUAUGAAAACGCUGGAGUAAUUGGUUUCAACUUCCGUGUAGGAUAGAUGGGACGUGAUGACACGUAACGACCACUUCUGAAAAACCAUUUGUUUUUUAAGGAUGCCAUUCAAAGUUUCGAACUUUAGCCCACCAAAAGAAAAAAUCUUGAUGUUUUAGAUCAAUGAAUGAAAACUAACUUAAAUUUUAGAAUUAAAUCAAUACAAAAGUUGAAAAUUGAAAGCUUACAUAAUUAAUUGUUGUCAAUGUCCACCCUAACUAAAUUUUAACCUAUUUAUUUAUUAAUAGUAUAACAUUUUUAAAUUAUAUAUAUAUAUAUUCGAAUUUGCUGAUUUUUACGAAUUUGUAGAAGCAAAUCUAUUUCUAAUUCAUUGACGGUGGAUUUUUAAAAUUUUUUAAUCUAAUCCAAUCCAUCAAUCCAUGGAUUAGAUUUUUAUGGAAAUGAUUUUUACAGAUUGAAUGAAUGAAAUGUUAGAAAAUCAAUGGUUGAAGCAGGACUACAGCUAAAAUGAAUUGGAAUAAAAUAAAGAGCAAGCACACAUAGAGGACACAAAAAAUUACAUGGUUCGGUUUUUAGCCUACAUCGAUGGGCGAAGAUAGAAGAAAAAUAUUUUACUAGUGAAAAUAAAUUACAAAUAUUGUGGUAUUUUAACUCACUACCCAAAACCUCAAUACCCCCAAACUCUCAAAUCACUAAUAACACAAGAGUUAUUUAUUUUUCUUCUCAAAAUUUUCUGCAGCACUACCAUUUUUCUUACAUUUCAGUUUCUUGAAUGUCAAAGUCGUGUGCCGCCAAUUGUACUUCUUCAAAGAUGCUGCAGCCCUCUUUGAUUUUUCUUUGUUCAAAAUGAGCUGCUUCGAAAAUUUGGUAGCUAAUUUUCUUGACAUUCUCCCACUUCAAUUGUCAUAUUGCUUACGUCUCUGCUAGGUCACAAGCAAAUCUACUCCAUACAAACUUGUCAACAUUGAUUGGCUUGGUAAAACAUCUGCUAGGUUCUCUUUAGUAUGAAUUUUCUGCAAAUCCACACUUUCGUCUUCCAUUACAUCUCAAACAAAGUGGUAUUGUACCCCUUGUGCUUUGUCCUGGAAUGAAAGGUUGGAUUCCUUGCAAUGUGCAAGACACUCUGACUGUCACAAAAUACAGAAAUUUUCUCUUGUUUGUGUCCGAGCUCCUCCAAUAAUCUUUGUAUCCAAAUAGUUUCCUUGCAAGCUUGUGUAGCUGCCGUGUAUUCUACUUCUAUUGUAGAUAAAACCACAAUGGUCUGUAGUUUUGAAACCCAACUUAUAGCUCUUCCUGCAAGUGUAAACAUAUAGCCAGUAGUGGAUUUCCUUUUAUCAAGGUCUUUUGUAAAAUCUCAAUUCAUUUAGCCCCUGACAAUAAACUCUGAUCCUCCGUAACAUAAUGCAACAUCUGAGGUUCCUCUGAUGUAUCUCAAAAUCCUCUUCAUAAUUUUCCAAUGUUCAACACUAGCAUUCGCCAUGUGUCAACUAACUACUUUUAUUGCUUGUGCAAUGUCCAUUCUAGUACAUAUCAUCGAACAUUAAACUUUCCAUUGCUGAUGCAUAUGGUACUCGAGACAUUUCCUUGCUCUCUGCUUCAUUGCUUGGACAUAUACUUGAGGAUAACUUGAAAGUAAUAGGAAGUGGGGUAUAAAUUGGCUUACAAUCUUGUAUGUUGAAGUGCCACAAGAUUUUCUCAAGUAAUUCUUCUGAAAAAGCCAAAUCUUCCUAUUAUUUCUGUCUCAGUAAAUUUGCAUCCUUAGAAUCUUGCUUGCUGGUCCUUCAUUUCAAACUCCCUAGCCAAUUGUGCUUUUAAUUCUUAGACUUGAUCUUUGUUGGGGCCUGUUACCAACAUGUCAUCUAUGUACAAUAGCAAAAUGAUGAAAUCAUUAUCUUCAAACCUCUUGUAAUAUGCACAAUGGUUUGAACUAAGUCUGUUGUAUCCAAGCUCAUGAUAAAGGAAUUAAAUCUCUUAUACCAACACCUUUGCACCUGUUUGAGACCGUAUAGAGAUUUUUUCAACUUGCAAACCAAAUUCUCUCUGCCCUUUUCAGCAAAACCUUCGGGUUGGAGCAUAUAAAUUUCUUCUUGAAGUUCUCCAUGAAGAAAUGCAAUUUUCAUAUCUAACUGCUUUAGAUGUAGGUCAAAUGUAGCACACAUCGCCAAGAUUAAUCUGACUGUUGUAAGUCGAACCACUGGAGAAAAUAUCUCGUUGAAGUCAAUUCCUUCUUUAUGAGCAUAUUCUUUUACCACCAAUCUUUUACAAUACCGCUCCAUUUGUUCAUUGCCAUCACGCUUGACCUUGUAGACCCAUUUAUUUCCAAUGACUUUUCUUCCAUAUGGUAGUAGUACAAGUUGCCAUGUUUUAUUCUUGUGUAGAGCCUCAAUUUCUUCCUCCAUUACUGUCAUCCACAAAGCAAAAUCUGAGCUGCUUAAAGUUUCAUAGAAAGUUAAUGGCUUUUUAUCCUCUAUCAGAAGACGGCAUGCAACAUUGAUCUUUGUGACAUAAUCUGAGUGCCACAUUGGCGAUCGUCUCUCACGAGUUGACUAACGAACUUCUCCAGCCUCGGACUCAACUGGUUAUUGUUCCUCGUGCUCUGGUGCUGCUUCAGAAGAAUCUGAAUCUUUUUUUCCAGAUUAUUUUCAACAUAUACCAGCACAGUCUUUGACUUUUCUUUUACAGUGCUAUCAUCUUUAUCUCUCUUUGUAGUUGAUCAUCUACAAAGAUAACAUCUCUGCUAAUGACUAUCUUGUGGGCAGUGGGGUCCUACAGACGAUACCCCUUUCUCCAUUAGCAUACCCCAAGAAGAUACACCCAUAAAUUUUAUAUUCAGCUUUAUUUUUUCUUGGGCAUUGUACAUCACGUACACAUGACAUUCAAAUGUAUAUAGGUGGGAGUAAUCAGUUGGCUUUUCUGUCCACAUCUCCAUCAAUGUCUUUAACCUAAUUGAUGUGGAUGUCAAUCGAUUUACUAUAUAACAAACAAUUUUGGCUGCUUUUGCCCAAAAUAAGUUGGGUAGACCAGCAGUCCUCAACAUAGCUCUUAUUAUUUCUAUAAAAGUUUUGUUCAUCCACUCUACCACUCUAUUAUGUUGGGAAGUGUAUGACACUGUGAACUGCUUCUGAAAAUCUUUUUGCUUACUUUAUGCAAUAAACUUGUCAUUUGUAUACUCUCCACCGUUAUUUGUCCUCAAGCACUUUAUCCUCUUUUUGAAUUCAAGUUCUAUCAGCAUUUUGUACUAUUUGAAUACUAGAAACACAUAUGAUGUUUUCUUGAUUAGACACACCCAACAUCUAUUGAAAUAAUCAUCAAUAAAAGGCACCAAGUACUUUGCACCUCCCAUGGACAUGUCUGGUGAUUCCUAAAUAUCAGAAUGAACCAAGUCUCAAAUGCAUUUACUUCUAGCAAUAGAUCUGCUUAACUUCAAUCUAUGCUGUUUACUUUUAACACAAUGCUCGCAAAACGAUAAGUUUACCGAUUUGAGACCUGGAAGCAAUUUUUACUCAGAGAAAAUAUUCAAACCUUGUUCUGACAUUUGGCUAGGCUGGAAAUGUCACAUCAUCAUCACUCUUCUCCAUUUGAUGCGACACACACAUUAACUUUCUGUAGUGUUUUCCCUUUAAGCAUGAAUAAAUUAGCACUAAUCAUUUCCGUCUUCAUUAAUACAAGUGCACCUUUGACUAUCUUCAUGAUCACAUUUUCCACAUGAGUUUUGUACGCAUGACUAUCUAUUUGUCCUAAGGAUAAUAGAUUUUUAUUCAGGCCAUUGACAUGUCGUACCUCCUCAAUUGCGCGAACCGUACCAUUAAACAUUUUUAUUUUAACAGUGGAACAGCUCUCUCCGAGAGGUCAUGUGUUAGGUAGCUCUCGAUUCUAUAAGCCAGACAUUAUAUAGUUGUUUUCUGCCUUUUAAAAUAGUUGUUGCCUUGCUGUAGAGAAUUUCGCUAUCAUUUAAGGUACUUACUACACACCCCUGAGCAUUUGAUGAUACAGGAACUAUACCCUCUCUUCUCUUCUAGUUGUUCCAAUAAUCUUUUUUGACACACCAUUUCUUACCACAAUUGUAGCAUUUGACAUUAUUCUUACUUCUUGAUUUUGAUCUACCAUGAUUGUGACUCCUAUUGGGACCACGUUCCGUUGGUCUCCCUCUUAUCACCGAUAGUACUUCCACUUGUUGCGAACUUGCUUGCCUAUCUUCCUUAUUUUUCCGCAUGCUCUCAUUUAAUAUGGAGGCUGCAACAUCAUCGAAAGCUACACUGUUUGCUUGGUUGUUUGUCAGAUUAAUGAUGAGUUGAUAUGUGAAAAUAGAGUCUUCAAGGUGUUGAUAUGGUCGAUCACCGAUGUAAAUUUCGCUAUUCGAAGAGGAUAAAGUCUCUACUUUAAGAAGAUCAUAUUGUGCAGUGACUUGACCUCGUACAAUUUUGUAAGAGUAUCCCAUAUUUCCUUAGCUAUCUUUUUCUCUGCCAUACUAGAUAACAUCCCAUCUGCAAGUGCCAGGUGUAGAUCAGCAAUUACAUUACCGUCCAUCUCAUUCUACUUGUCAUCAGUUAUAUUUGUGGGUCUUUCUCUAAUUGUUGCUAAGCAAUUAGUUUUCCUCAAUACAACCUUCAUCUUCAUUUUCCACAACGAGAAAUUAUUUUCGCUGAACUUCUCAAUUUCAUAUUUUACUGUCAUCACUUUUUACAAUGAACUACUUUAGUUAGAAUUGGCUCCCACCAUUUCACGAGAACAAUAACUAUAUAUAUGAACAAUGUCGUAUAUAUGAACAAUACUCUAUAUGUGAACAAUACCCCGACUCUAAAAAUACAACCAGUAGCUCUGAUAUCAGUGUUAGAAAAUCUAUGGUUGAAGCAGGGGCACAACUAAAAUGAAAUUGGAGGAAAAUGAAGAAUAAACACGCACAGAUGACACAAAAAAUAACGUGGUUCAGCUUUUAGCCCACGUCCACGGACGAAAAUAGAAGGAAAAUAUUUUACUAGUGAAAAGCAGUUACAAGUAUUGUAAUAUUUUAACUCACUACCCAAAUACCAAUAAACUCAAACUCUCAAAUCACUACGAACACAAGAGUUAUUAAAACACAUGAGUUAUUAAAACUCUAUACUCUCAAUUCUUAGCUCUCUAUAAGGAAGAAGAAAAUGAGAUAAAGAAAUUGGAUGCCAAAACCAAAUGGGGAGCUCUCUUUUUAUAGCCAAAAUUGGCUAUUAUUUUAUUUAUUUUUCUUGUCAAAAUUUGCUACAACACCACUAUUUUUCUUACAUUUUGGCUUCUUCAAUGUCAAAACCGUGUGCUGCCAAUUUUACUUCUUCAAAGAUGCUGCAGCUCUCUUUGAUUUUUCUUUGUCCAAAAUGGGCUGCUUCUAGAAUUUAGCAGCUACUUUUCUUGACAUUAAAUAAAUAGAACACUCUAGCACGUUGUUAUAAUCAUGUUGCAGAUAGAACACUCUAACACAUUGUUAUAAUCAUGUUGCCUUGACCUUAUUUUCUUGAAGCAUGUUGACAAAUACAAUAAUGUGCAUUUGGAGGACUAUUAUGAAUAUAAAAACAAUAGAAAGUAUAAAUGACUAAUAAUAUACAUGACUUUAAGUGACAUGAGAUUUUUAAAACUAAACAAAGCUAACACAAGUAUAUGAUCCUUUCAUUAUAAUAUGUCGUAAAAUAAAAACUACAUAAUAUGUAUUUCUUUUAUUUUUUUAGUUUAAUUCGUUCAAUUUCUUGCAGUAACUAAAAACACUUUAGAAUUAUGUUAAGAUCAACCCAUACAAAGAAAAUAUCCUAAGUACUCCGAAGUAAUAAGCAACAUACAUAUGUGUGUGUGUUGUACAAUUUAAUAUUAUUUCAACUAGCGAAAUUUAUUGUGGAAGUCAUAAAAAUUAAGAAUGAAGAAAAGGAACCAUGAACCCAAACCAGAACGCAAAAAGUAGUCAUAUUUUUUCAUGAGGGAAUUCUAACCUGCCAAUCCAUGUGUUUAGAAUAAUCAACGAUGUUGAUAUUUCUUUAUAAUGGUCCUACAGUGAACAGAAACAUGCAGAAUACGAGUCAGGGUGUAUUGAAAAGAAUACGUAAAAACUCUUUUAAUCCCUAUAUUUUGAGGUUAGUAACCUAUAUUUUUAAGAAUACCUCAAAACUCCCUGCAGUUAAACUAUUGACACAUCUGCCUUUUUAUUUUUUAUUCCUUUUAACUUACUUCUAUAAUAUUACCUUUUUACGAUAAUUUUUUUGGACAUUAAUAAAAAGAAAAAAAUUAUCAAUUUAAACCUAAAAAUGAUACACACACACACACACAUAUAUACACUAAUUUUUCUAAAAGCUCACAUAUUGUAAAAAAGUAAUAUUGUAAAAAAAAUUAAAUUACGAACUUUUUUGGACAUUAAUAAAAACAUAAAUAUAUUAACUCAUCAGUAGAAUGCUCUAAAUUUAUUUUUUUGGAUUAAAUUAAUAAUUUAAUUUCUUUAUUAAUGUCCAAAAAAUAAACAUUAUUGUGAGAGAAUAAUAUGUAAAAGCAAGCUAAAAAGAACAAAAAGUAACGGCAGGGGUGUCAAUAAUUUAACAAUAGAGAUGUUUUGAGGUAUUUCUAAAUAUAUAGUGACUAAAAAAAUACUAACAUAAAAAUAUAGGAAUUAAACGAGCUUUCAUCCAAAGAGAAUCCAUGUAUAGCCGAUUUUACUAGAAUUUACAAGUAAAAUGCAAAUACCAUUAGUCUUCUAAAACACAUGCAACUUUUCAUCAACAACCUGAAAAAUACCAUUAGAAGAGAUACUUGUACCAUUUCCAUGGGAUCAUCAAUCUCGAAACAAAAGAGUUUUUGUGAGGCAACAUAUCAGCAUGUAAAAUGCCACUUCAUUAACUAGUAGUUGAAAAUGACAAGAAGAGCAUAAGAGAAAUUUUAGAAUACCUCUAAAGUACCAUUUCAUCUAUGCAAUAAGUAAAUAAUUAAGUGCAUUUAUUUUGAAGAACCGACAAGUAAUUAAUGGUUAUACAAAAUUUAAAUACACAUGUCAUAUAUGUAUUAAUUGAUUAUAUUAUCUUUUGGGUGCUACUAAGUUAUAAUUACUGUAACUUACAGCCCUUCAAAAUAAUGUAAACAGUUGUCAUAGGUGGUAGGACCCGUAUGAUUAUAAAAGGAAUUGUAAAUUACAGCAGCAGUAACUUAGCAAAAUCUUUAUCUCUUAUGCAUUUUAGAAUUUCUCAUGAAAGAGACACAACAUAUUUCACUUUUUUUCUUCUUGAUUUUACUGCAUUACACUAAAGUGUAGCACAUGAGCCACAUGCAUAUGAAAAUUUAGACUAGUUGGUGUAGGGCAUGUUGAGGAGUCAGAGCCUUUCCUUUCUGACACAAUGAUAACAUAGUAUAUCAGUGUGCAGUACAUAAGCACAUGCGCAUACAAACUUAGACUAGUGGUGCGAGGCUUGUUCGAGGAGCCUCUCUUUUUUUCUUUUUUUGACACAAAAUGAAAAAAAUUAUUAACCAUCAAAUUACAAUUUGAUAAGUCUGAUGAAAGAUUAAAAAAAAAAAAUAGAAAUACAUGUGUCUAACAAUGUACAUUUUAGUGUCUUUAUCAUCGCAAGUCUUGUAGGCAAGAACGACUCAACCAAUUUUAAAGUCCUAGGUGAAUUGUACUAAAAUUUUUAUUUAUUUAAGAUCAAUGUUUUCUAGCUUUCUGAAAUGUAAAAUUAUUAAUCAAAUUUUUAUGUUCUAAUUUCAUGAAUAUAUUUUUCUCAAUAAUCAAUAUAGCUAAUCCAUUUGUUCUCUCUUGCGAGAUUGUUAAUUCUAAAUAUGUUUUUAUAAAUUUUAAUUUUAAAAACUUCUUUCUACAGAAACAAUUGUUAGUAGUACUAUUAAUAAUAUUCUAUAUGCAAUCUAUGCAUUUGAGAAAGAAUCAAUUUGUUUUCAAAUAAUUAAUUAGUAUUUUUUCACCUUGAAAUACUUCAUUUAAAAUCUCAACUCUUAAAACAAAUAUUCACCAUCUAUAUCAGAAAGUGUAUCAUGUUUUAAAGUAUUUUCGAGAUUAACACAAUAAAUAUUUAAAAUGUAGUCAUUUAACAAUUGUAAUUUUUUGAAAUUAAACAAAAAUCCAACCAUAUUAUCAUAUAUUUGAAAUUAUUCACAUAUAGUCUUAUUGUAGAAAUAACUUGAUCUACUAUAUAUAUAUAUAAUAAUUAAUUCUAAAGGACUCUUCAACAGACAAAAUUUCCUCUUCACUAACAUUUUCAUUAAAUUUGUUUCUUUUUCUACAAAUUAUACUUUUUUCAUGAAAUUUAGGUUCUAUUUCCAUUUCACUUGCAAGUUCUCUUGCUGAAAUCAGAGCAGACAUGAAUCCAUCUUUUCUAUUUCUUUCAAAGAAAGAAAUAAGACCUUUAAGCUUAUCUAUGGCAAUAUCAGUAUGUACGUAUUCUUUUUGCAAGAUCAUACUUUGUAAUACCCCACCCCGCUGCUUUGACUAAUUUUGACUUGCUUUUUUAUUAUAUAAAAAUGUUGGGAAAAUAUGCUCUUUAAAAGCAUAUGUGUUUAUUUAAUUGUAAUAAACAAAUUUUCUGAUUAAUAAAAUAAAUGAGGUAUUUUAUUCAAAUAUCUUAAUUGCAUUAAUAUUUGUAUUAAAGUCCAUUUAAUCAUAUUAUAUGUAUUUAUGUGAUCACCAUGUGGAUUCACAGAAUGAAUUUAUUACAGUCUAUACCUAAAUAAAGUGCCCAACUUUAUUUAGUUCACAGAAGAUAUAAAUACAAGUUAUCUUAUGAUUAAAUAAAUUUAGUUCGCAGUUGAUAAAAUAAAGUUGGGCACUUUAUUUAGGUAUAGACUGUAAUAAAUUCAUUGAAUGAUUUGUCUUAAUCAUAUAUGAAUUUAUUACAGUCUAUACCUAAAUAAAGUUAUCUUAUGAUUAAAUAAAUUUAGUUCGCAGUUGAUAAAUAAAGUUUGGCACUUUAUUUAGGUAUAGACUGUAAUAAAUUCAUUGAAUGAUUUGUCUUAAUCAUAUAUGAAUUUAUUGAUGUAGUACGACUACAUUGAACAUCAUACUACAUUGAACAGGAUCACAUAUGAGAUUUAAUUAACUUUGUAAUAACUGUCAGACUUAUUAAAUCUCAUAGGUGUUGAUUUUACUGUAAUCUUAAUCUUGAGUUAAUUAUGAUUUCAUGAUUGUAAUUGUUAUUCCAUUUGAGUUACUAAUGGGCACGGCACAUCCUUGUGGUCAAGAUUACCCGGUAUUUUGGUGGGAGCAAUUAUGAGUAUUGGAGUUAUGGAUUAACAAUAUAGAAUUUGUACAACACAUCUCUUGAUGGGUUUUCGGCACUUGAUCAUAGAAUUCUCUGGCCAGAGUGUGUCAACAUAUUUAGUAUGUUGAAAAUGAUCAUUAGAGAAAACCAGUAAGAAUCAAGGAAUAAGAUAUUAUUAAAUUGAUUGAACAGUUGAGAUAUCAAUUUAAUUAACGAUGUGGUACAAAGGAUUGUGCAGUAAAGAAAUCAAUGUGGCUUGGACCGAAUUAUUAUUCGAGCAUACAAUUAUGGAAGUCAGUACCAAUCUUUUAGUGGAGUAGAUUUGGAAUUAAAUAAUUGGGCUAGUUUAAUUACAGGCUUAAUUAUUGUAGCCACUAUUGUAUGUUCCCAAAUGAUCCCCGGGUUAGUUCAUUUAAUUGAUUGCACCACUACUAGACUAAUAAGUAAGAUAACUAGCUAUUUGGGUCAAAAGUCUAAAUAUAUCAUUUAGUGGGAGGCUCUAUUCAAUUAGUUUUUGUGUAAGGGGCCUUAUGUUAUUUUACAAGGUGGGUCCCCUAUUAAAAAAGCAAAUAACGUGGGUUUUGUUUUUCGAUUAUUUGGAGCCUAAGGUUUUUACUAAAGGGAGAUAUAAAAGGCUUAUUUUUCUCUAAAGAAAAGGGUGAAGCUACUUUAUAUGGAUCAGAGAAAAUGAUUUUUCUCUCUAUUGUUGAGAGAAAAAUUUUCUCGUGCUAGUUGCUUUGGUAGUGAUAAAGGCGCCCACACGUCAAGUGCAGAUCGAACCUGAGUCAUAACCUGGAAGAUCAUUGGUGCCAGUUCGUGUUCUAACAAGCGUGGUGGUGACGGAUCGUGAUCUAACAGGAGUGGUGGUGACGGAUCGUGAUCUAACAGGAGUGGUGGUGACGGAUCGUGAUCUGGGAGCCUAAAUCAUUUCAGCAGAAAAAGCUAAAUCAGAUUUUCAAGGUACGAUUUCUAGAUUACAAAUUCUUAUAUAUUAUAUGAGAGCGAUCUUAAAAAGGUUUUAUAAAAAUUAAAAAACUUGAUUUUUCCCCAACAAAAAAAAGGAAGCUGGAAAUUGUUUAAAGAAGAGGAAGCAUAUUCACACGUGAGAAAGAGAGAAAGCUGCCAAAACCGACUCGGAAAACCUAACCCAUGAACCAACCUGGCCACCAUUUCUCGUUCCCGACCACCCCACCAGCAACGGGAGGUACCGAUUAGAAGCUUUAGAACCAAUGGUCACUUCCCCGCCAUUGUUACCGUUGAAUAACGACCAGAACGCCGUCAUUUGGGCUCGCAAAACUUGCAGUAUUUGCCACCUCCAUUCACCGUGAUUUCGCUGGUUUUGGGUGACGCCACCGACUGGGUUCGUUCCUCAGGUCACUACCUUCAUUUUUUGACCACCCACAUCACCAAAAAUAGUUGAUUUACUGCCAAUCGACCGCCAAAGUGUUCACGGCUUUGGGAGCUCAAUCCGGUGCCUCCGUCGCCACCGUUGGAUUCAACGCGACAUGAAGCUUCUAUCCCGACCUUUCCCAUCACCACCGUAUGAAUUUAGAUCACCGUUGGUCGAGGAGAGCAUUUUAGUAAUUUUUUAGAAUUAGAGGGUAAUUUCUUAAAUUUUUGAUUUCAUGAAUAUUUCAGUGAUUUCUGAUUUGAGAAUAAGAAUCUAAGGGUAGUUCGAUAAAUUAUGAUUUUGAGGAUAAUUUGGCAACUUGUGAUUCUGAGAUUUCAGGGGCAUUCUAGUAAUUUAAAUUUUGGUAUUUUUGUAAUUAAUUAUUCAAAUUGAGAUUAAUUGAGGUUAAGUUUAGAGGGUGUUAUAUUGAGGAAUUUGAGAACAAUAGAGUUUAUGAUUUCAUAUGAUUUUAUCUUAUAGGAGUAUUUUUUAUUGAUUUUAGGUCGGUGAUAUCGAUACAUAUUUGUUACUUGAGGAUGCUAGAAGGUAAGUAAACUAGAUUUCUAAAUGAGUCAUAAUAAAUAAUAUGUACAUGUUUGACAUGUUUGAAAAGCUUAUUUUGAUAUAUACGGAUAUGGAUUUAUAUGCUCUGCCCAUGUGUUUAUAUGAUGUGUUAAUAGGAUGUAUUGUUAUGUGUUAUGUGUGUUUAUGGACAUGGACAUAUGUCUGUGUGUAUGUUUCAAUGGCAUUAGCACAAAAAUGUAUUAUGUUUUUUGUGAAAUGAGAAAGCGGAUUUUAGCCAAACGGAAUUGAAAGAAAGAAAAUCUUACACUAUGUAGUAGCAAUCCUUAUGAAUUUCCUCGAGGUGAUGAAUGUUUUCGUUAUUCAAAGCUAGGCCAUACAUUAAACCAAUGUCCAGAACGAAGACAACAAAUAGUCAAUUUGGAAACUAAUGUAGAGGAAAAUGGAAAGCCUAAGGAUGAACUAUAUAAAGACAAUGACGACAUAGAAAAGGAGGAAGAGUGGACAUAUUGAGACAUAUGAGUAUCACUAGUAACACAACAUUCGUUAUACACACAAAAGAAAGACGAAGACACUCAGAGACAUAAUAUCUUCAAAACAAGGUGCACAAUCAAUGAGAGGGUAUGUGAUGAUUAUUGACAGUGAUAGUAGCAAGAAUAUAGUUUCGAAGAUUAUAAUUGACAAGUUACAGCUUAAAACUCACAAACAUCCUUCCCCUUAUUGCAUUAGAUGGAUAAAAGAUGUUGGAGAGAUCAAGGUUACUCAACAAUGUUGUAUUCAUUUUUUCCAUCAGAAGACAUAAAGAUGAAGUUACUUGCGAUCUUGUUGACAUAAAUGCUUGCCAUUUGCUUUUCAGGAGACCUUGGCAAUUUGAUCUUAAUAUGGUACAUUAUGGGAAAGAUAACACAUACAGGUUCUAUAAAGACAACCUAGAAGUUAUCCUUGCUCCGAUAAAGUCAAAUGUCAAGGGAACUUAUCUUUUACUACAAAAGAGAUAGCUGAAGAAGAAUCGAUGCCUGAAUAAGUCCAAUCGCUACUCUCAUAAUUUCAGGAUAUCGUGCCUAAAGAGCUUCUUAACAAGUUACCUCCUAUGAGGAUUACCUAUGACUCAAAUUAAAAGAGAACUUCUAAUGGUUUGCCCUUACAAGUCUACUAUUUUUAGAAGAACCAUACUAAAAAACAAGAAGAAAUUGAAGUUUUAGUACUUUUGAGUUUUAAGAAAAGUUGAUGCAAAGUGCUACACUUUUGCAGUGCAAGAUCAAUUACUCCUUCAUUAAAAGAUUUAUCCUCUAGAUUGUCCUUUAUUUUCAGCAAAACUUGAGGACGAGUUUUUUUUUUCGAAGAGGAGCAGACUGAUGUUGUAACACUCCACUAAAAUAUCUAUUUUAAAAAUGUUUAAAACAUAGUUAAAUAUGAUUUCUAAAAGCUUAACACAACAAACAAAAUUUUCUUCAUAAAGUAAAAGUCAUACAGAGAUUUAAUAGUUUAUUUCAAAACUUGAUUAUUACAUAAAGCUAAUAUGUUUAAUUUUUAUUUAAACAAAGCUGAGCCCAUCUUAAAAUCCCAAGGUCUGUUAUGCCCAUAUGCACUUCGUCUUGCUUAGGACUUGGCGCCAGCUUGCCUUACUCAUCAUUAUCUGCAAUGUAAGGACUUUAUGAGCUAAUGCCCAAUAAGAUAAUACUUUUAUGAAUGUAUAAAUUAUGAUGCAUAUGGAUGACCAUCUUAAGCUUUUAAAAUAAACUUAAAAAAUACAAAACAACUUCAUUAGGGCCCUAGGUAUGUUGCACUACAAGGUUGGCACUUUUACUCUUUUAAACAAUAUGCCUUUGGGCCUCAUUAGUUGAUCUUUUAGGCGUUAUGUAUCGCCGUCCCCAAAAGAUUUUUUAUUAGUUAGCUUUAAGGGCUUGCCCUCCUUAGAAACUUUGCCACCUGGUGGUACAACCACUUAUUUUUCAUAAAUUCAUUUUCUGAAACGCCUUCUUCAUAAUGUAAUCCAUGAUAUGCAUGCAUUCAAUGCAAAUUAUGUCAUAAUAUUUGAAGUUCCUAAAUGCAUAAAAGAAUCAAUACAGAACACUAUUUAAGAACAAGAUUCUUUAAUACAGGUGGCACAACCGACCAUAACAUAAAUAAUUAUAAGUAUCACAGAUUAGGCGACAGAGCCGACCAUAACAUAACUAAGCAUCGUAAAUAGGCGGCAGAGUCGACCAUAACAUAACUUAUCAUCGUAGAUUAGGUGGUAAAGCUGACCAUAACAUAACUAAGCAUCAUAGAUUAGGCGGCAUAGCUGUUGGUUAAUUUAACUCGAUUGUUAUUGAUGUUAAUGUGCAAGUGUACACAACAAUUGUCAAUUUAUACAAAGUUGCUUGUAUUAUUUCUAUCUGUAGGUUGGGUUAAAGUUGAUAUGGAUGGUGUACAAAAUGAUAAAUUUCACUAUUAUUCAUUCAUAAUAAAGUUGAUUGACUAAUAACAUUAACAACGCAAUAAAGUAACGGCAAUAAUAAAGUAAACUGAACAGCUUGCACAAAUAAAAUUCAAUAAGGAUAAAGUAGUUGAAUGAUCAAACUCUCUUCAUGGGCUGACUGUUUUGUUUAGACUAACACCAGUUGGUGCAACAACUCCUAUAGCACUGGGCAGACUUAUGCAACCUAACAAUGACCAGUCGUUAUAUUACGAACAUAUACUCUCUUUACCCUACAAAGUGAAUCAUUAUAUCUAUGUCAUCACAAAUCUUAAUUCAAGUGUGGCCCUCUUGAGACUCAAGUUAAACUCAAUCUAGAAAACUUAAAUUAAGAUCAAAUAUUACUCUAAUAAUUUCCAUUGAGACAGACCCUUUUGUGGCUCUCUCUUAACUUGAACCAUUAAAUGAGAGGUCAAUCGAAACAAUGAUUGUAAUACAAGCUAUUAAAGCAAAAUGCUACAGCAAUGUUGCAGCAACUCAUAAGAACAGUCAAGAACCCAUUUAGAUCGUUUGUCACUCAUAACUUGUAAAAGAAAAACAAACAGCAAAGUAUCAGCCAUGAAAUACAUCGUUUUAAUCAAGGAGUAAGUAAGGGGGCAGUAAAGAAUGAUGAAAAUUGAAUCCAAAUAGUUCUAUAGAUUUCUUCAAUGGUGCAGACUUGUCUCUCUUGAAUUCUGCUCUUUCCUUAUUUUCUCUUGAUUUCUUCGAUGUUAAUUCACCGCCCCCUUUCUAUAUGAUGCGUGCUCCUUUUAUAAUUGAAAAUUAGAGUAAACGGAAGCCUAGGGCACGCAUGAGUCAGAUUAGAAAACUGCAGAUCACGAUUCUCCAAGUAUCCUACGUGGAAUUUUCUCUAUCAUUGUUCCAAGAUUGCUACAGCAAUAGCUACUACAGCAACGGCUACAACAACUGCACUGUUCCAGAUUUGUUUCAAGUCUUUUGUGGCUAAGUUCUUUUCCAUCUUUUACAAGCCGAUUGCAUCAGCAUUCCUUCCUUAAAACUUGAGCUUCCGAACACCUACAAUUACGCACACAAUCUAGGCACAAAUUAUUUUAAAUCAAACAAAAUUUAUUACGACUAAACUAAAAUGAAUGUUUAUGCGAAAUAUAACAAAAAUGCAAUAGAACACAACAUUUACUCUCUAAAUAAUAUCGAUUUAAGUCUAAAAGUGCAUUGAUAACUCUCAUUUCCUAGAGUUAUCAAUAGCCGACCAUAUAAGAAUUUAGAUUAUAACUAAUAACAUCAUAAUAGCCAUCACAACAUAAGGAAAUCGUUAAAACUGAAGUUAAGUAUGAAAAGAAUUUUGUCCUUACAUUGCAGUUGAAGUGUUACUUACAUCUUGGCCUUGACUUCUCUAGACAUUUCUAAAUUAAGGAUUUCUAUACACUUGAUAUUAUGACUUAGAAUAGAAUUCAAUUUUGGCGGGAAAUUAUUUAUGAUAGAAUAUAUGAUGGCUUUUCCAUCAUAAAGUUUUGAUUUUUUUCUAAAAUUAUAUUAUAAUUUAUUAAUGAAUUCCUGUUUACAAAUUUAAUUAAUUAAUAAAACAAAUAUAAUAAAAAACUUAAUAUCAAUUAACAUUCAUUCAAUCCAAAAAUUAAUUUAAAAAGAAAUACAUCUAAUAUCUAAUGUGAUCUCCACCAAUACAUAAUAAAACAUCCCAAAUUGAAAAAGUCAUCCCAAAAUAUAAAAUUGCAGUCAAAUUCCAAUCAAACUCUAAGAAAAGCAAUAAGAAUUCCGGCCACCAAGCCAAGUUACCCAACAAAACUUCCAAAGAUUAAUGCAAGUACUCCAACAAUAAGAUUUCUAGCAAGACUUCCUGUAAAAAUUCCAGCAACAAUAUCAUCUUUCGACAGCACUCUAAACGAAAAUUGAAACUUACAAAGCGACCUACAAGCUUCCUGUGAACAAAAUUGAUUCAAACACCAAGCAGAAUAAGGAAAAUUAAGAGGCUGCAAUACAUGUGGGCAUCAAAUAUAGUAAUCCAUUUGAUUUAAACUGACUUAACUUUUAUGGAAUGAGCAAAAUGUACAUACUCAAUGGAUUAAAAUUACUUUUAGUGAAUGGGAAUUCAUCAAAAUCAGCAAGCUAGCUAAAAAUGCAAAGGAAGCCACAACAAUAGACCAGUGUAAGGAGACAAAAAUAAAUCAUAAAGUCAUAAAAAGCAAUGGCAUCCAGAUCCAGCUGAACUGAUCAACCAAUGAAAAGGAAACCAAACAACCAACUUUGACAAGCUUAUCUCAACCAACAGCACUAAUUCUAGGCCUGUAACUUGCCUACGUAUUUAAAAUAGCAAAUAGUCCAAGUUUAACAUCAAUUUUGACAAGAAACACAACAAACAGAAAAUGUAACAAAAACCAAAUCAGAGGCUAAGCAACAUACUGCAGCCAUUAUGCCACACAAGAACAUAAAUAUUGCAAUUUGUAGUAGCCCUCCAAGAACAGCGACAUGUCCCACUGCUUUUAACUGCAUUGAUGAUGAAUUAUGGAAUUGGAACAAAUUUUAUGAACAAAGAAGGAAAAUGUUGUCAAUAAUUAUCAUACACUUUCCAAGCACAGAAUGAUUUACCUUUUGUCAAAGAAAACUCUAGCCCCAAAGCAAAAAGAAGGAAGACAACACCAAAUUGUGCAAAAGUUUCAACCUGUGAUGAAUGAAACAAAAAGGAACUUGUUACCUAGAAUAAUGAUCGCAAAAUAAACAGAAGAACAAAUACACCACAAGAAUCUCUACCAGAUAAUAACUAAUAGUAGUUUACUGAAUAUCUACCAAUUCACUUAGGCUUAAUGAGCUAAAUGAAAAACUUUUCAUCAGAAAGUUAAUAUCAUAAUGAGGGAUUGAUAGUUAAAAAACUGGAAAAGUUAAAGAGGAACAUAUUGUUUUUUUAGGCCAGGUUUUCUUCAAAAUCUCUUGAUGUGAAAGUUCUCAGCUUUCACAACAAAAAACUAAAUUUUGCAGUGAAGUAUUGUUGGACCGAUUACCAUAGGUUUUAUCAAAUCAUAACUAAAGCAGUACCAUAACCAUUCUCGAAUUAAUUUACUCACUCAGCAUUAUAUCACCUUUAUGCAUCCUUUUAUAUUCAUCCAGUAUACUUCCAAGAAAAUCCUGUCAAAAUAGCGUAUGAACUAAGUGUCCCGAUACACAUUACCAACUAGCCAUUAUUUAUUUGUUUAUUUUCUUUAGCAGUAACUAGAAUAACUAUAGCUAGAAGAAGAAAUAAUCAGAGUGCCAAUGCAUAAACUACAGAAUAUACAUUCUACACCAAGAAAUUGAUUAACUGAACUAUUUACAAUCCUGAAAUAACCCAAGGUCAAGAAACGGCUAAAUAUGCUUCAAGACCUGAAUCUUACUAGCCCAUGUCCAUAAAUUGUAAGCGAAAAUCAUUAAUAUAUUUUUAAACAGUACUUGUAAAAUAAGUGUUCCAAUUGUAACUUGACCAUGAAGAGCAUUAUUGCUGUUCUGUUCUACCAAAAAUUUCACCACCUAGCACAGGUAACAGGAAAAGCAUGAACCAGAUAGAAAUUCACAAGUGGAAGCCAAGAUGAAAAGAGGAAUUCGAUUGUCAAAAAAAUGGUGUAGAAGAAUACCACUGCAGUUGAUGACAUAUAUUACUGGUUUUUUUUUUUUUUACAAAAAGGCUUUAUAAUAUAUAUAUAAAAAAUUGAAAUAAAAAAACUAGAAAAUAAAAAACAAAGCAAAAUAAAACAACCAAAAACCUAAAUCCCCAAAUAACCAAAUUGCCUCCCUCAGCCGCCCUCUCUCUCACGCGAAGCAACAGCCAAAAACCUAAAUCCCCAAAAUCACUCACCCUACCAUCCGUGAAGCAACAACAAACAACAGCCGACAGGCACACCUUCACUGCCUCACACACCUAAACAACAAUUACAGCCAUCACCCAUCAACAACCCAGCAGCACGCGAUGCAGUAGCGACCCAACAGAAUCAGCAGCGUGACGUAGCAGCAGCCACUCCCACGCGACAUAGAAGCAGCCACUCGAACCCCGCGCGACACAGCAGCAAUAAACCCAGCAUUUUAAUACUACUAGCAAAAUGGUGUCGACAGCAAUGGGCUACAAUUUUUAAACAACAUUGCCGGCAUAGUUACAAUAUAAUUGAAUGGCGGCGAAAGGAUGGUGUUUUGCUCGGUCGAUUGAGUGCAAGGUUGAUUUCUAGGGUUUGGCCAUGAGAGAGUGAUGAGUGUUUGGGUGUGAGUGUUAGUGAUUUUGGGGCUUGGUGGGUCAAGACAAUAGUGUUUUUCUUUUCUCUUUUUUUCAUUUUUGAAUUAUUAAAAUGCACCUUUUUUAAAAAAUAAAAUAAAAUAUUAAACUUUAGGUCAAACAUAGUCAAAGUAAAUUUUUUAUCAUAAUUUCUUGAUAGAGAAAAUUUUUAUCACGAUUCUAUCAUAAAUUUGUGAUAAACAAUAAUUAUAUCACAAAACCAUCAUAAAUUUGUGAUAGAAAAUAAUAUUGUCACAAAAUCAUCAUUAAUUUAUGAUAGAUUGAAAAUUCUAUCACGAGUCUGUCAUAUUAUUAUGAUAUAAGUUGAAUCUGUCAUAAACUGUCUGUCAUCUAUUAUAUGUUUUCUUGUAGUGAUUCUCUACCGCCAGAACCUCCUCUAAUUUCUGGCGACAUCCCCACUAAUCAGCAGCCCUCACAACAACUAUUAACACUUCAAACCAUAAACCUUAGACUGCAACAAACCUUUCAAAAUAUGCUCCACGCUUUCGCCACAUUGCCUGCCUCAAUUGGUGGCGAUUACUUGCUGACGGAACCACCAUUGAACCUUAUGUACUCUAAACAACUGUCAGCAGCCUCUCACCCUCCAGCUGCCACCAAACCCCUCAGGCACCAGUACACACGAGCACAACCAAAACUCAGGCACCACUUAUUGCCCACCAUCUGUGACUCCUUUUACCGAGACAAAUCCCCCUAGUUGCCAUAUAUCUCACCAACACCUCGCUAUCUCCCCAUUGAACUUUUCAAGAUCAAAUAUGGUGGUAGCCGUUGUAGAUCCAAGAUCAGCUAAAUACCUAUCUCUGAUACCAGUUUGUUAAGUUCUGAACAAAAGAAAGUCUUUCCAAGAUUGAAUCAAACCAAGAAAAUAGAAACUUAUAUAAACCAGAACAACGAGCAAACAAGAGAUUAAAAGAAAAGGAAAGAAAAAUAACAAGAUCAUAUAACGUGGUUCAGCAACAAGAUGCCUACAUCCACAGUUGAAAUCAGGUCUGCUUUGAAACUUUAUUAGAAAGAUAUGAGUUAUAGAAGAUUAUUGAGAUUACAGAGAUUAAAUCUUCUCUAUUGAGAUUUUUUCUCCCUCUCUCACAAAGACUAUCAUAUCAUCACUCUCUUGACCACAGUCUGCACGCUGCAAUUCCUCUUAUAUAUCUCUUAAAGAGUAAAAGCAUGAGUUGUCAUACAUAAUAACGACUUUAACAGCAGAUGGUCCCACUAAUGCCAGCUCAGCACGCCACCUUAUUCACUCUUAAAAUAAUAUAACUACGCCAGGCCUCACAGAUUUUUAAUUAAAAAAAGCAUAAAAAUGACAGUUGAAAAAUCGAUCUAAAAUGGUAAGACAUGGGAAGUUUUCCGGAUAUUAAAAUAUGAAGAAUUUUCUCAUGAAGGGCCUUGCACUUCGAUCUUUUGCUGCCUCUUAACAUGUUGUGAACAGAGAGUGCUUCUGAGUGUCGCUCCCAUUUUACCAAGAUGAAAAAUUAGGGAGGAGCAGAGUUCCCGCAAAACAGCAUAGCUGUGAUAAGUCUUUCGCGUUGCAAUCCCGUAGUAAAAGUUCAUUUGUCUAUGACCACUUUCAUACCUCCUCCGGCUGGUGGCCUUUACUCAGGGGUGGCUUUAGGUAUAGGCGAACAAAGCGGUCGCCUAAGGUCCCAUAUUUUGUGAAGGCCAUAUUUUUUAAAUUUUUUUGAUAAUUCUCAUUUUUUUAAGUUACGUAUUUUAGGAAAUCAAAAAGCUUAUUAAUAUCUCUCUAAUUAUUAAUUAUCCUACAGUUAAGAAUUAAUUUUUUAUGAAAAAUCUAUAUUUGAUAACAUUAAUGUUAAAUAGAUAUAACUAAUAAUAUUAUUUAAUCAUUAAUUCAUUCAUUAUUAGUCUUUCAAAAAUAAAUUAAUUAAUUAUCUUUUCAAUUUCCUCAAAAAAAUUAAUUAUUUAAUGUUAGAAUAUUUGACUUUUAGUAUUUCUUUUAAUUUCCAUUAAAAACUUUGUAAUCUCAAAAAUCAGUAAAUAAAAAUUUUUUUUCCUCACUUCUCUAAAAAGAAAAAUAUUAUAUUCAUUGGUUCAUUUAAAAAAAUCAAUUUAUAGAAAUACAAAGUCCAUUUCUAUUAUCUGAUCAUUAAUUUAUCAUCUCAACUUUUUAUAUUCUAUCAUUCUAAAUAUCCUAUUUGAAAAUAAUAUUAUUUGUAUUUAUUUGAUUGUUUAUUUUGUAAUAAUUUUAAUGGAAUAAAAAAUGUCUUCUUAACUUUUUUUUUAGGUUUUAUUUUUAAAAUUCAAGAAUUACAAAUGAAAUAAAUUUUGAGCUUUUUUUUUUAUUUCUUUGAGUAUUGAAAUUGCAAAACAAAUAGAGGCCUCAUAAAAAAAUUUCGCCUAAGGCCCCAAACACUCUAAAGCCGGCCCUGCCUUUACUAUGCAUGUCCAUCAUAGUCCGAUAAGCAAGCAUAUAAAAUUUUAAUCCGGACUAAUUCGUCCAAUUUCCUCAUAACAUGCAUUACGCUCUCCAUAGCACCUGCUCUGCAGUAGGCAUAAAGCAUGCAAUUUAAAUCACAUUUGUCAUGCUUGACUUCAAAAUACCCAGCCAAUUUGCCUCUUCAACAUCAACCGGACCACCACGUCCUAGUUCUUCCGGUUCCCUCAAUCAACAUCAACCGUUGAUUGUACGAUGCUUUAAAUCCUAUGGUUAUUAUUUUUUUCCAUAUUUUUAAUUUCAUGGGGUUUAUCAAUGGAACUGGUGCGUAGUAGUCGUAGCCUUAAUUAAUUUAGAAUACUUUUGAGUUGCGUUAACAGGCAGCAGUCACAAUCAACUUCAUCGCUUUGUAAAUUUCCAUUACCACAGAGUCAACAGUCAGGCUCAUGAAAAGAAAUUAUUUGUAUUUUUCUUAUUAGCAUAAAAUAAAUAAUGAAAUAAAAAUAAAGAUUUUAAUAUUUGAAUUUUGAUUUAAGUCCUAACUUAUGUGUAGCUAGAGGCGAAGUUUUGAGAGGACUAGAAAGAUUGAACCCAAGUCUCUACCCUCAUAUUUUAUAAACACAGACGACAUUGUUGGAUAUUUGUUUCUAGAAAUGAAUAUGAUAAUAGAAGAUAAUUAAAAUGGACUAAUCCAACAAUUAGGCGCUCCUUCUUUAAGCUAACCCAAUAAUUUGGAACUCAUUUUUUUGUUAUAUUUACUUUUUUAUCCUUGUAACUUUUUUCUUUAAAUGCCACAGCUCUAAUUUCUAUCCUCAUUUAAUUUAAAUGGGUACGAUUUGUCAAAUGCGAUUUAAAUGGGUGGUGCAUGUAUACUGAAAGUAGCCCUUGUGCUUAGCAUGCUAUGAACCAUGCUUGAAUAAUCGAGUAUAACUGCAUCCAUCCUCAUCUUGUAGGAAUUGGAAUGAUCCUGACUUAAGAAUAUGCAUAUACUGACGACUUUUAUUCUCAAUAAAAGCAACAUAUAUAAAUAUCAUUUUCUUUUCAUUUAUAGACCUCGAUGAAUGGGGGAGUUUAUUAUAUUAUAGAAAAGCGAUCCCCCAAUAGAAAGAAAAGUCUGGCCAACAUCAACUGAAACUGCACUCUGGGAAUUCAUCAGCCUUUGGUGCUGUGAAAGCCAUGUGUUUGUCCUCCAAGGGCAUGGGCUGAAAAAGCCAUGUAGAAGCUACAUCCAUAGUCUCUUGGUUUUGAGCACCGUGCCCAUCUCCGUGUAGAUACAUAAAAUGGGACAUUCUCACAAGAUUCAACAUGAAGUCAACUGUAUUUUGAGAUAAGGGAGAAUCUUUAUCAGCUCUGUAUGCAUUCACCUUCUUCCACAUCUGUCUCAUCAUAUCCUUGAUGUGUUCACGAGCAACUUCCUCCGAGGCACCAGUUUCAUGCAUGUAACACUGGAUUGAUUUCGGAACAUCCCCUCUCUGUAUCUCAUCCUGAUGAAUUAUUGGGGAAAACAAUUACACAAUCAAUUCGUGUAUAGAGGAUUAAUUCAAUUUCUAUCUUCUUAAGAAUCAAAAGAAAAUAAAAGAAAACAUACCGACGAAGUUCCCAAAUCAUCUUGAAGACGAAAAAUCUUGCAUGACCAGCGAACGAAAUCUGGAUUGCUUUCUAGAAAUUCUAGUUCCUUCUGAAUGAUUGGAUUUGUACCAGAAAGGUACGCACUCAUUGUUACUAUAGGGCCUGCUAUUGACACCAAUCCAUUUUCCAAGAAUUCUCCCAGUGUUGGUGUGUACUUACUAUGGUACCAUUUCGCCUCCACUAAGCCGGCUUGUAUUAAGCCAAGCCACUGAUGCACAUGAAAUAGAAAAUAAAGCUAGUUACAAUUUAUUAUUUUUGAGACAAAAACAUCGUAAUUUAAAAAGGAUAAAUCAAAGGAACGGAACGGCGGGAGAGGCAAAAUUAACAUUUUACAUACUGAAUUUUUAAUACUCCGAAGCAUAUCAAAAUCCUGUUGUUUGAGUACGUAAUAAGCAAAUUCAUUAACAAAGUUGUAAAGCGCAAAAAACCACAAUUUCAUGUAGUCCGGAAGGUGGUUCAAAGCAUAAUGGAUGUCCCACCUGUAGAAAAGAGAAAAAAAAUAUUAUAAAUGGUCUACUAAUUUGAGUCUUGAGAAGUAGCAGGCACCUAGCUUGCAAUUGAAUCAAUCGAUUAAAUAUAACAUUAGUUUGCCAACAAACCUCUCAACAGCAGCAGUGAAUAGCUCAAGUUCGUCCAAAGUUCCAUAAACAUCAUAAAUGUCAUCAAUCACUGUAAUUAGAGCUAUUGCAAUUGUGACUGUUUGGGAGAAAUACGUCGACGAGACCAGGCAUGGUGAGCAGAUAUCUGAUGGCAGAGUUCUGCGAACCGGUGUGUUCCGUAAAAGCCUGGUGCGCGGGGGAACAGGAGCAAAAAUAUCCUGCUCGUCCACGAGCACGUCAUCCGCGAGGCAAAUUUCCUGUAAGAGGCAUAAGGCCAUUCCGGCUAGAGGUCGAGAGGCGAGGAGACCCGGUCGACGGCAGUAGGCAAGGCAUGCUCUCCAGCCCGAGAAUCUAGGCACGACAGCCACGCUUUCCCCAGAACCGUGGCGUAACACGCAAGAUCCCACGUUUGCCCAUAACGCAGCAGUCGGAGUCCCAUACCGUCCCCCAAAAAAGCGGAAACAAGAUCUCACAAAACCACGACAGCCACGCUUUCCCCAGAACCGUGGCGUAACACGCAAGAUCCCACGUUUGCCCAUAACGCGGCAGUCAGAGUCCCGUACCGUCUCGAAGAAAGCAGAAAACUGGGAUUCAAAGGAAGCCUAUAAAAAGGUAGCCAACGAAGGUAAAUGGGUUAGCAUUUUUGAGAUUAGAAAAGAAAUUCUAAAAGAGAGAAAACAACCUAACAACCAUAAGAUUUGUGGCAAGUGUUCCCCGAACCUUCAUAUCUGACUUGAGCGUCGGAGGGUUUGCGCCGGGAAAACAACCGGCGUACUCUGACCUGUCUGUGUGCGCAGGAACCUCUGGAGAAGAAGCCUUGCGAGGAGACCCCCUGGUCGUGAUGAAGUUGAUCGAGCAGAGAUCCUGGUCGUAGAACGAGGAGAACCGGAAUCUCGCAUCAACAUUUUGGCGCCGUCUGUGGGGACCAGAGCAAAAAGCUUCUGUUGAUAGCAAGAAGAGGGGUGAAGCAAGUGAAAAGCAAUGGAGACAGGAGGAAGUAGUGCACAAGGGGGUGAUAGGAGGCUUAACGAUUCCGUGACGCUGAGGGAGAUAGUCAGUGAAGCACGGGGAAAAGUCAUGUUCGACCGGAUGGAACGGAUGGAAAAGCAAAUGGAGACCUUGACAACCAUCCUGCAUGAGCUGCGGAGCGAGCGAAGGGUAACCCAAGAGGGAAGGGUGAGAGGCGGUGGAGUGGCACCAGGUCCCGAUAGUGCGGGGAGAAGUCAAACCACUGGGAGAUUUGGUGGUGAGAGAGGUAACGUACCUCUGCGGGGACAAUUUCAUAGAGAAAGAGAGCAGUCCCCGGCAAGACAGACUGGUGACGAGGACGACGGGGUGGUGAAUGCAGAGGAAACAGAGUUGAGGCAACACUUGCAUGAUGUAGAGCAAGAGUGGGAUCAAGUUGCAGCACGUGACCCUGGUCGUGCAGUGCAGCUGGAGGAGGAAGUGCGCAGACUAGCGCAGAUAAUUGACGACAUGCAAGGAAGGAACAGAGCCCCUGGUUGGAGGAUAAUGCUGGACGGAGAAUCACCGCUCGCAGCAGAGAUCAUGAGGGCAGUUAUUCCGAGAGAUUUCCGCCUCCCAGACCUCAGAUACUCGGGAAGAACUGAUCCGCUGGUGCACAUAGAGCGCUUCAACGACAUAACUGGGGUACAAGGAUUAUCUCAAUCCCAAAGGUGCAGGGUGUUCCCACUAUCCCUUGAGGGACGUGCACGAGAAUGGUACAGGAAACUCCCUCGGGGCAGCAUUAAAACCUUCGAGCAGAUGUGCCAGGAGUUCGCGGAGCAGUUUAGUGGGGCAAUGGCACCGGAAGAUGACAUGAUGGAGCUGAAAAGCAUGAGACAGGGGGAGCAAGAAACCCUUCGGGAAUUCAUCGAGAGGUUUCAUCGGACUGUCCUCGACUUGGGAGCCUUCAACCACCCUCAGGCGUUAAGGGGAUUGAAAGAAGGGGUGAAGAUAGGAAGGCUGUGGUACAAUUUGAGAAGCCCAGCUAUUCAAACGUAUGCAGCCGCAUACGAACAGGCUAAGAGAGACAUCGAGAUUGAAGAGGAGAAGGCUGCACGGAUUAAGAUAGACCAGUUAGAAGGGUUGGGGAGGAAAGAGAAGAAAGCAUUACCGGGGAAUGGGCUGAUCAGGAGAAGGGACCACCAUGCCUCCGGUAGUGGAGCAGGAGGUCGGGUAACCGCUUACCAGCCUCAUCAGAGGCCACCACAGUAUCAGCGCAGCAGGGCGCAACCUCCUCGUUCCCCAGCUAGGGAGCCUUGGAGAAGGCAUGAGUCGGCAUCUGGUGGUCUUCAUCAACAUCCCCACGGUAGCAGAGCGAGCAGACCAGAAAUACUUCCACCGCCCCCAACUCAGAGCGGGGCAAACAGAGAAAGAGCAGUGCACCUGAUCGACCAGAACCCGGACUAUGGGCGGUACACUUCCUUGAAGAUGUCCCUGGAUGAGGUGUACGAGGCCAUAAAGGAUCGAGGGCUGCUGCACCUCCCUACACCAAUAACAAAGCUACCCAACAGGAGGGAUAGAGGACGUUAUUGUAAGUUCCAUGGCACCCAUGGCCAUACCACAGCAGAGUGUAGAGAUCUCAAGACCCAGGUCGAAGAUUUGGUGAGAAAUCGGUACCUGGACGAGUUUAUGGAUGGGACUUUCCCGAUGGUGGCCACAACAGGUGAAGGGGAGCAGAGUGGUAGAAACUUGAGGCGCGAGCAGCCCGCAGUGAGGGUGAUAGCUGGGGGCCCAACAUUGGCCGGAGAUUCCAACAGAUCGAGAAAAAAUUAUGCUAGGUACGCCAUGACCAGUAAGAGGUACUCUUCAACACCCCAGCAGCCAAACGAGCAAGGGUCAGGCAAGUGCCAAUCAUGUGGACGGAUGAGGAUGAGGAAGGGAUUCUAUACCCCCACGAGGAUGCUUUGGUCAUCAAGGCUAUUGUCGCUAGCAAGAAGUUUGACCGGAUACUGAUUGAUACAGGGAGCUCAAUUGAUGUGUUAUUUAAGUCAACCCUGGAAGAGAUGGGAAUAGCCGACCGGAAGUUGGAAUACACCAAUACCUCCUUGAAGGGGUUCGGAGGAGGGAAGCUGGUCCCUCUGGGCGUGGUCGAGCUGCCUAUCACAAUUGGGAGCUCCCCGACAGAAAGAACAAUGGUACUGGACUUUGUCGUAGUGGAUGAGGAAGGUCCUUACCAGAUGAUCCUAGGUCGGCCAUUUUUAAGGAUGAGCAAAGCGGUGUUGUCCAACCAUUAUCUAGCUCUGAAGUACCGGGUGAAUGGGGUAGUAGGAGUGGUACGAGGAGACCAGAGGAUCGCAAGAAGCUGCUACUCCUCGGCAGCAAGGGAAGCAAUGCAGAUAACAUCCCUCGAUACCCGAGUGGAAAACAAAAAGGGCAGACAAGAACCUGUAGAGGAUCUGGAAACGGUAAGCCUGGGACCAGAGAACCCGGGAAAGACGAUCAGAAUCGGGUCGAGACUUAAGGGAGAGCAAAAGCAGGAGUUGGUAAAAUGCUUAGAGGCUCAUGCUGAUGUGUUUGCUUGGACACAUGAAGACAUGCCAGGGAUUGACCCUGAGGUAGCAUGUCAUAAGCUGGCAAUAAAGAAAGGUGCUCGGGCAGUAAGGCAGAAGAGGAGGUGCUUCAAUCAGGAGAGGUAUGAGGCUAUAAAUGGCGAGGUGGAGAAGCUCUUGAGAGCAGGGUUCAUUCGGGAAGUCAGUUACCCUGAGUGGAUAUCGAAUGUGGUGUUGGUAAAGAAGGCAAACGGCAAGUGGAGGAUGUGUGUGGAUUUCACAGACCUCAAUAAGGCGUGCCCAAAAGACAGCUUCCCUUUACCAAAGAUCGAUCAGCUAGUAGAUUCAACGGCUGGACAUGGUCUGCUUAGCUUCAUGGACGCGUUCUCGAGAUACAACCAGAUCCCCAUGUACGAGCAGGAUGAGGAGAGCACGGCUUUCAUCACUAACCAAGGUCUGUUCUGUUACAGGGUUAUGCCAUUCGGUCUCAAAAAUGCUGGGGCCACCUAUCAAAGGCUGGUGAACAAAGUCUUUAAGCCAUUGAUUGGGAAAACCAUGGAGGUGUACGUGGAUGACAUGAUCACCAAGUCCAAAAUCCCAAAGGAACACGUCAGACACCUCGAGGAGACAUUCGAGCUUUUGAGGAAGUAUAAGAUGAAGCUCAACCCGGAGAAGUGUGCUUUUGGGGUGGAGUCAGGGAAAUUCCUUGGAUUCAUGGUGAGCCAUAGGGGGAUUGAAGCAAAUCCCGAGAAAAUCCAGGCGAUUGUGCAAAUGACGUCUCCUCGUAACCUGAAGGAGAUGCAGAGCCUCACGGGGAGGUUGGCGGCGUUGAGCAGAUUCGUAUCCAAGGCUACAGAUAAGUGUCAGCCAUUCUUUCAAGUGAUAAGGAGGGGAAAGAAAACGGAAUGGACCCCAGAAUGUGAGGAGGCCUUCCGGAACUUGAAGCGAUACUUGCAGCAAGCUCCGCUGCUGUCCACACCGAGGGAGGGGGACAAGUUAUAUCUGUAUUUGGCGAUAUCGGAUCGGGCCGCCAGUUCUGUUCUGGUGAGAGAGGAAGAAGGAGUUCAGUAUCCGAUAUACUACACCAGCAAGUCCCUGCUCGACGCUGAGACCAGAAUCCCAAUCCUCGAAGAAUCAAAGGCAUGCAAAGGCUCGACAAAGUCUCAAAGCCUGUCUUAUGGCGAGACAGAAGCCAAGCAUGCCAGGAUCUGCUCGACCACGAGAAGGCGAGCAGACUCCAAAGCAUUCGAAGAAAUUCCUGAGGCAUGCAAAGGCUCACCAAGUCUCAAAGCCUGUCUUAUGACGAGACAGAAGCCAAGCAUGCCAGGAUCUGCUCGACCACAAGAAGGCGAGCAGACUCCAAAGUAUUCGAAGAAAUUCCUGAGGCAUGCAAAGGCUCACCAAGUCUCACAGCCUGUUUUAUGGCGAGACAGAUGCCAAGCGUGCCAGGAUCUGCUCGACCGCGCGAAGGCGAGCCGAAUCCCAGGCAUUGAAGAAUCUUCAAAGGCGUGUGGCAAAACCAUGAGCAAAGUCGGAACCUGCUCGUCUAGACAAAGACAAGCAGAUUCUCAAACGAAAAUCAGCUCAUAAUUACAACACAAGAAACAUUUUACAGCGCCGAAUCCCGAGGGUCUCAUAACCGUCGGUUUGAAAUUCAAAUGGAGGGGGGGAUUUCUGCCACGUCACCUCGUCCGCAAUUAAAUGCGACGUGAUUCUUGGCAGCCUUUUCCAAUCCCACGCGAGCGAGUACUAACGAGUUUCUACUGCUGGUCCACUACAUUACCCAACACCAGAAACUGGGGGACCGGUGUUUGGGAGAAAUACGUCGACGAGACCAAGCAUGGUGAGUAGAUAUCUGAUGGCAGAGUUCUGCGAACCGGUGUGUUCCGUAAAAGCCUGGUGCGCGGGGGAACAGGAGCAGAAAUAUCCUGCUCGUCUAUGAGCACGUCAUCCGCGAGGCAAAUUUCCUGUAAGAGGCAUAAGGCCAUUCCGGCUAGAAGUCGAGAGGCGAGGAGACCCGGUCGACGGCAGUUGGCAAGGCAUGCUCUCCAGCCCGAGAAUCUAGGCACGACAGCCACGCUUUCCCCAGAACCGUGGCGUAACACGCAAGAUCCCACGUUUGCCCAUAAUUAUAACCAGAAGGUGAACAUACGGCAAUUCAGGGUCGGAGACUGGGUACUGAGAAGAGUGAAUCAGAGCACCAAAGAUUCGACUCAAGGAGUUCUGGGACCGAAUUGGGAAGGGCCAUAUAGAGUCAAGCAGAUAGCGGGACCCGGAGCUUACAAGCUGGUUCGCACGGACGGCCACGAGGUGAAACGCCCAUGGAACGCAUCACACCUCCGAAAAUACUUCCAGUAAGACUUGUUCACAUUUGAAAGCUAUUUUUGCUCAUGCUCAUUAUCGUUUAUCUUUCACGCUUUAUGUCCAAACAAUUUCAUGUAAGUCGAAUCCUGCCAUUAAUGGAACGUCGAGGAAUUUCUUUCGCUUGAAACCGAGAAAAUUCCCAAGGCAUGCAAAGGCUCAUCAAAGUCUCAAAGCCUGUCUUAUGGCGAGACAGAAGCCAAGCAUGCCGGGACCUGCUCGGCCACGAGAAGGCGAGCAGAAUCCCAAUCCUCGAAGAAUCAAAGGCAUGCAAAGGCUCGACAAAGUCUCAAAGCCUGUCUUAUGGCGAGACAGAAGCCAAGCAUGCCAGGAUCUGCUCGACCACGAGAAGGCGAGCAGACUCCAAAGCAUUCGAAGAAAUUCCUGAGGCAUGCAAAGGCUCACCAAGUCUCAAAGCCUGUCUUAUGGCGAGACAGAAGCCAAGCAUGCCGGGAUCUGCUCGGCCACGAGAAGGCGAGCAGAAUCCCAAUCCUUGAAGAAUCAAAGGCAUGCAAAGGCUCAUCAAAGUCUCAAAGCCUGUCUUAUGGCGAGACAGAAGCCAAGCAUGCCAGGAUCUGCUCGACCACGAGAAGGCAAGCAGACUCCAAAGCAUUCGAAGAAAUUCCCAAGGCAUGCAGAGGCUCAUCCAAGUCUCAAAGCCUGUCUUAUGGCGAGACAGAAGCCAAGCAUGCCAGGAUCUGCUCGGCCACGAGAAGGCGAGCAGCAUCCCAAUCCUUGAAGAAUCAAAGGCAUGCAAAGGCUCAUCAAAGUCUCAAAGCCUGUCUUAUGGCGAGACAGAAGCCAAGCAUGCCAGGAUCUGCUCGGCCACGAGAAGGCGAGCAGCAUCCCAAUCCUUGAAGAAUCAAAGGCAUGCAAAGGCUCAUCAAAGUCUCAAAGCCUGUCUUAUGGCGAGACAGAAGCCAAGCAUGCCAGGAUCUGCUCGGCCACAAGAAGGCGAGCAGCAUCCCAAUCCUUGAAGAAUCAAAGGCAUGCAAAGGCUCGACAAAGUCUCAAAGCCUGUCUUAUGGCGAGACAGAAGCCAAGCAUGCCAGGAUCUGCUCGACCACGAGAAGGCGAGCAGACUCCAAAGCAUUCGAAGAAAUUCCCAAGGCAUGCAAAGGCUCGACAAAGUCUCAAAGCCUGUCUUAUGGCGAGACAGAAGCCAAGCAUGCCGGGAUCUGCUCGGCCACGAGAAGGCGAGCAGAAUUCCAAUCCUCGAAGAAUCAAAGGCAUGCAAAGGCUCGACAAAGUCUCAAAGCCUGUCUUAUGGCGAGACAGAAGCCAAGCAUGCCAGGAUCUGCUCGACCACGAGAAGGCGAGCAGACUCCAAAGCAUUCGAAGAAAUUCCCAAGGCAUGCAAAGGCUCAUCCAAGUCUCAAAGCCUGUCUUAUGGCGAGACAGAAGCCAAGCAUGCCAGGAUCUGCUCGGCCACGAGAAGGCGAGCAGCAUCCCAAUCCUUGAAGAAUCAAAGGCAUGCAAAGGCUCAUCAAAGUCUCAAAGCCUGUCUUAUGGCGAGACAGAAGCCAAGCAUGCCAGGAUCUGCUCGGCCACGAGAAGGCGAGCAGCAUCCCAAUCCUUGAAGAAUCAAAGGCAUGCAAAGGUUCGACAAAGUCUCAAAGCCUGUCUUAUGGCGAGACAGAAGCCAAACAUGCCAGGAUCUGCUCGACCACGAGAAGGCGAGCAGACUCCAAAGCAUUCGAAGAAAUUCCCAAGGCAUGCAAAGGCUCGACAAAGUCUCAAAGCCUGUCUUAUGGCGAGACAGAAGCCAUGCAUGCCGGGAUCUGCUCGGCCACGAGAAGGUGAGCAGAAUCCCAUUCCUCGAAGAAUCAAAGGCAUGCAAAGGCUCGACAAAGUCUCGAAGCCUGUCUUAUGGCGAGACAGAAGCCAAGCAUGCCAGGAUCUGCUCGACCACGAGAAGGGGAGCAGACUCCAAAGCAUUCGAAGAAAUUCCUGAGGCAUGCAAAGGCUCACCAAGUCUCAAAGCCUGUCUUAUGACGAGACAGAAGCCAAGCAUGCCAGGAUCUGCUCGACCACGAGAAGGCGAGCAGACUCCAAAGCAUUCGAAGAAAUUCCUGAGGCAUGCAAAGGCUCACCAAGUCUCACAGCUUGUUUUAUGGCGAGACAGAUGCCAAGUGUGCCAGGAUCUGCUCGACCGCGCGAAGGCGAGCCGAAUCCCAGGCAUUGAAGAAUCUUCAAAGGCGUGUGGCAAAACCAUGAGCAAAGCCGGAACCUGCUCGUCUAGACAAAGACAAGCAGAUUCUCAAACGAAAAUCAGCUCAUAAUUACAACACAAGAAACAUUUUACAGCGCCGAAUCCCGAGGGUCUCAUAACCGUCGGUUUGAAAUUCAAAUGGAGGGGGGGAUUUCUGCCACGUCACCUCGUCCGCAAUUAAAUGCGACGUGAUUCUUGGCAGCCUUUUCCAAUCCCACGCGAGCGAGUACUAACGAGUUUCUACUGCUGGUCCACUACAUUACCCAACACCAGAAACUGGGGGACCGGUGUUUGGGAGAAAUACGUCGACGAGACCAGGCAUGGUGAGCAGAUAUCUGAUGGCAGAGUUCUGCGAACCGGUGUGUUCCGUAAAAGCCUGGUGCGAGGGGGAACAGGAGCAAAAAUAUCCUGCUCGUCCACGAGCACGUCAUCCGCGAGGCAAAUUUCCUGUAAGAGGCAUAAGGCCAUUCCGGCUAGAGGUCGAGAGGCGAGGAGACCCGGUCGACGGCAGUUGGCAAGGCAUGCUCUCCAGCCCGAGAAUCUAGGCACGACAGCCACGCUUUCCCCAGAACCGUGGCGUAACACGCAAGAUCCCACGUUUGCCCAUAACGCAGCAUAACGCAGCAGUCGGAGUCCCAUACCGUCCCCCAAAAAAGCGGAAACAAGAUCUCACAAAACCACGACAGCCACGCUUUCCCCAGAACCGUGGCGUAACACGCAAGAUCCCACGUUUGCCCAUAACGCGGCAGUCAGAGUCCCGUACCGUCUCGAAGAAAGCGGAAAACUGGGAUUCAAAGGAAGCCUAUAAAAAGGUAGCCAACGAAGGUAAAUGGGUUAGCAUUUUUGAGAUUAGAAAAGAAAUUCUAAAAGAGAGAAAACAACCUAACAUCCAUAAGAUUUGUGGCAAGUGUUCCCCGAACCUUCAUAUCUGACUUGAGCGUCGGAGGGUUUGCGCCGGGAAAACAACCGGCGUACUCUGACCUGUCUGUGUGCGCAGGAACCUCUGGAGAAGAAGCCUUGCGAGGAGACCCCCUGGUCGUGAUGAAGUUGAUCGAGCAGAGAUCCUGGUCGUAGAACGAGGAGAACCGGAAUCUCGCAUCAACACUUCUGUAAAAGGCGGAGUUUGCACCUAAGAAUAAUUUAAUAUACAUGUGAUUAAAUUGUACAAGUUAUGUAAAUUAUAAAAUCAAAUCUUUGAUGUGUGUGUGUGUGUGUGUGUCUGUCUAUAUAUAUAUGAGUUAUGCAAUCAAAUGGAUACCCUGAAAUGUCUUUAAGUUCUUCCUGGUAAAUUGCCUGCAAAGUGUUAAACUCCAACUUAGCGAGCUCAAGUAAAAGGUGGUUCUUGUCCUCUCUUUUCUCAUAAACGUGUAUGAACCACCUUGCCUCCAACAUUGGGACUUUCCAAUGCAGAGGGAGCUCCACUGCACGCUUCGCUUGUUCUGCGACAAAUACAUGCUCUUCCUGAUCAUCACGUCUUUAAGAUGUUUACUGGUAAAUUGCCAGGCCUCCUCCAUGAUGCUUUCUCCUUCUAAGCUGUAAUACGAGGCUUUGUGCAAGCUCAGUAUUCCCUUGAAAUCAUCACAAAUGAAGCCUCCCUGGUCGUCUUUUAAACCAUUGAAAACCUCUGCAGCACUCAACCAAGAAACGUUACAUUCGUCAAAAUUUUUGAUACAUCUAUUAAUUAGAGAGAUAGAGAAAAAAAACUGAUUUGGGUUUCGCCCAUUUCUUUACAUUUAAAAAAAAAAGAAAAAAAAACAGAGAGAUCGAUUCAAGUAUUCAGAUCAUGCAUGUGCAUGAUCUGAAGGAAGCGAAUUAAUGAAAUAUACCUUGAGAAACAGGAUAGCCAUGUUGUCUAAGUAGUCUGAAUUCAAGGGAGGUUACAUACAGAUUUUCUUUUCUCCAAUUAUAAUCUUUAUUAUUGUUGUAGAUAUUAUUCAAUAUGUUCCUAAUCUCAGUCUCAAAACGAUAAGCCAAUCCAAGUCUUUGCAAGUUAUCAAUCAGCUCCAACUGAUCCAGAGGCUCGAUUACAUCUUUAAUCGCUAUCUUCACUUUUCCCUUCAGCUCUUCUGCUCGUCUUUUGCAUGCUUCAUCCUGUACACGCACAGCAUUUAGUUUUUAGUUAUUCAUGGUCCCAAUUUGAAAUGAACAAAGGAAAUUAAUACGUAAUAGUAAUAAUCAAUACCGUAUACUUGCUAUUCAGCCACUGCAAAAAAUCAUGGUCCCAAAUUGAAGGUUGGUAGUUUGCUGAUCUCCUAUCAACUGUCAAAUUAUCAUAUUUGGCGCUGACAAGGCAUUGGACUGGCUUAUUUUUGGCCAUGAUUCUGAUGGCUGCUUUAUUUGUUGUAAGAGGAAGACAUUUGAAACCAUUUACAGAGGUAACCAAGGUUGAGGGAUUAAUGCAAGAAGACAUUGGAUAUACAGAUGUUGUGUAAGCUAGCUUACUGUCAAAUUAUAUAUAUAUAUAGGCAGAGGAGAAGUUCAAGUGAUUUAUUUUUCGUGCUCAUUUUUUCUGAGUUUUGAAAGCGUUUAAUUUUUAAGUCUUAAUAGUACAAAGGUAUUUUAUUCAUUUGGGGGAAAAAAAAAGGAGUACAUCAUACUGUGCGAACGAGGUCAUUAUUGUACCAGAAGACACAUACAUCAUCCAUAUAUUCGGAUGAAUGUUGUAUAAUCUUUAUUUAUUUAUCUUUUUUUUUUCCUGCAUACAAAUUUUUUAAAGAGUCUUUCAAUAAACUACACAAUAAAUGCACGCAGAAAUGACAAGAAAUUCAUAAAUUCAAUUCUACUAAUAAAAGUUCUAUUUAUUACAUUAAAAUCUUGUUUUAUGUAGAAAUAAGAAUAUACAAAGUAAAUUUAAGGGAAAAAAAAGGCAUACAAAGUUGCAAACAAUAUCUUAAUGUUGAGCACUAACAUCAAAAUUCUAUCUGUUACAGUUAUAAAGUACUUUUGCGGAAAACAAAUUAAUAAAUUUCAAAGUGAUUAUCAACAAAAAGUUGAUUGGAGAUAAUGGAUUUUAAUAUAUUGUAGAUUGUGAUCAUUUGUAAUAAUUUCAAAAAACUUCCAUUUAACAGCGGUUGGUGAAUGGGUGUUGUAAAAUAAUUUUAAUAUUUGACAACAAGCGAAAGAAUGUUGUUAAAAACUCUUCAAUAGAUGUUCAAUCUCACAACGUUCUACAAAAGCGCGUUGUGAAAAAAUUCUAAUAAUUGACAACUAGUGUAAAAUCGUUAUAAAUUUUUAAUCCCAUUCAAUCCAUGAAUUAGUAAAAUUAAUCUAAAUUCAAUUCAUAAUUCUGCAGAUUAGAAGUGGAUUUGAUACAAUCCAUAUUCAUUCCACUUUUGCGAAUUCGAUACGGAUUUAAAAAAAAAUUCUUUCUAUUCAAUUCAUAAAAUAAUUAAAUAAAAAUUUUAAUUAUAAAAAUAAUUUUACUGCAUGCCAAUCAAAUUCAAAUUUAAACAAGAUCUAAAUAAAUCAAUAGUUUAAAUACGGGUUUAGGAAUGCUAUGUUAAUAGGGUCUUUAUACCGCCACCCCAACAUCUAUUAAAUCAAUCAACAUACGUUUUGAAACAAAUAUAAUCCGGAAGCCAUAUACCAUUUCAGCUUUACUCCCUAUUCUCUCUUAAAUAAAACUAUGAAAACACUGGAGUAAUUGGUUUCAGCUUCGGUGUAGGAUAGGUUGGAGGUGAUGACACGCGACGACAGCUACUGAAAGACUAUUCGUUUUUUAAGAUGCCAUUCAAAGUUUCGAACUUUAGCACACCAAAAUAAAAAAUCCUGAUGUUUCUGGAUCAGUGGAUGAAAAUCAACUUAAGUUUUAGAAUUAAAUCAAUACAAAAGUUGAAAUUUGAAAGCUUAUAUAAUUAAUUGUUGUCAACGUCCACCCUAACUAGAUUUUAACCUAUUUACUAGUAGUAUAACAUUUUUAAAUUUUAAAUUCUUUAAAUUAUAUACACACACGGAUUUGCUGAUUUUCAGGGAUUUGGAGAAGCAAGUCCAUUUCAUCAAUUGUCGAUUUUAAAAUUUUUCAAUCCAUCUAAUCUGUCAAUUCAGCUCUUCUGCUCGUCUUUUGUAUGUUUCAUCCUGUACACGCACAGCAUUUUGUUUUUAGCUAUUCAUGGUGCCAAUUUGAAAUGAACAAAGGAAAUUAAUAUGUAAUAAUAAUAAUAUUGAAUACCGUAUAGUUGCUAUUCAAUGACUGCAAAAAAUCAUGGUCCCAAAUUGAAGGUUGGUAGUUUGCUGAUCUCCUAUCAACUGUCAAAUUAUCAUAUUUGGCGCUGACAAGGCAUUGGACCGGCUUAUUUUUUGCCAUGAUUCUGAUGGCUGCUUUAUUUGUUGCAAGAGGAAGACAUUUGAAACCAUUUACAGAGGUAACCAAGGUUAAGGGAUUAAUGGAAGAAGACAUUGGAUAUACAGAUGUAGUGUAAGCUAGCUUACAGUUAUACUUGGCAAAGAUUCUCAAAUUAUUCUAUGGUUUGUG